GACGAACGCUGGCGGCGUGCUUAACACAUGCAAGUCGAACGGAAAGGCCCUGCUUUUGUGGGGUGCUCGUGUGGCGAACGGGUGAGUAACACGUGAGUAACCUGCCCUUGACUUUGGGAUAACUUCAGGAAACUGGGGCUAAUACCGGAUAGGAGCUCCUGCUGCAUGGUGGGGGUUGGAAAGUUUCGGCGGUUGGGGAUGGACUCGCGGCUUAUCAGCUUGUUGGUGGGGUAGUGGCUUACCAAGGCUUUGACGGGUAGCCGGCCUGAGAGGGUGACCGGCGACAUUGGGACUGAGAUACGGCCCAGACUGCUACGGGAGGCAGCAGUGGGGAAUAUUGCGCAGUGGGCGGAAGUCUGAUGCAGCAACGCCGCGUGCGGGAUGACGGCCUUCGGGUUGUAAACCGCUUUCGCCUGUGACGAAGCGUGAGUGACGGUAAUGGGUAAAGAAGCACCGGCUAACUACGUG
rnacentral:rRNA from 1 species